rnacentral:lncRNA from 1 species
CUGGUCUUCUAGAACCAAGAGGGUGACCUGCAGGUAAACAAGACACCACUGAAUCCUCUGGUCUUCUAGAACCAAGAGGGUGGCCUGCAGGUAAACAAGACACUACUGAAUCCUCUGGUCUUCUAGAACCAAGAGGGUGUCCUGCAGGUAAACAAGACACCACUGAAUCCUCUGGUCUUCUAGAACCAAGAGGGUGGCCUGCAGGUAAACAAGACACCACUGAAUCCUCUGGUCUUCUAGAACCAAGAGGGUGUCCUGCAGGUAAACAAGACACCACUGAAUCCUCUGGUCUUCUAGAACCAAGAGGGGGUCCUGCAGGUAAACAAGACACCACUGAAUCCUCUGGUCUUCUAGAACCAAGAGGGUGUCCUGCAGGUAAACAAGACACCACUGAAUCCUCUGGUCUUCUAGAACCAAGAGGGUGGCCUGCAGGUAAACAAGACACCACUGAAUCCUCUGGUCUUCUAGAACCAAGAGGGUGACCUGCAGUGAUUGUGUAUUUGUAACAUUCUGACACUGUGUUUCAAUAGUGCUUUGAUGAAGA